AACGCAAAUUGCACUCUCCGGUUUUCCGGGAGAGUAUGCCUGUUUGAGGGUCUGUUUAAAAAACAAUCGAGGCUGCUGCUGUGUGGUGGCGCCUCGGAAUUGGGUCACCUUCCACCUUUCGGGGUUGCAAGCGACUUAAAAUUUUUUUUACGAUUUCGAUGAGCGUGUUUAAGGAUACUCCUAUACGUUCAUGAUAUCGAAAUUCCCUAUUAGGGGUGACCGCCGCGUCGGUUUCACUCCUAUAAUUAUCAUCAAAGGACCUCAGACAGGUAAGAUUACCCGCUGAACUUAA
rnacentral:misc_RNA from 1 species